CAGCAGCCGCGGUAACACGGAGGGUGCAAGCGUUAAUCGGAAUUACUGGGCGUAAAGCGCACGCAGGCGGUCUGACAAGUCAGAUGUGAAAUCCCCGGGCUUAACCUGGGAACUGCAUUUGAAACUGUCAGGCUGGAGUCUUGUAGAGGGGGGUGGAAUUCCAGGUGUAGCGGUGAAAUGCGUAGAGAUCUGGAGGAAUACCGGUGGCGAAGGCGGCCCCCUGGACAAAGACUGACGCUCAGGUGCGAAAGCGUGGGGAGCAAACAGGAUUAGAUACCCCGGUAGUCCCUGUCUCUUAUAC
rnacentral:rRNA from 1 species